AUAAUGGGUCAGCGACUUAUAUUCUGUAGCAAGGUUAACCGAAUAGGGGAGCCGAAGGGAAACCGAGUCUUAACUGGGCGUUAAGUUGCAGGGUAUAGACCCGAAACCCGGUGAUCUAGCCAUGGGCAGGUUGAAGGUUGGGUAACACUAACUGGAGGACCGAACCGACUAAUGUUGAAAAAUUAGCGGAUGACUUGUGGCUGGGGGUGAAAGGCCAAUCAAACCGGGAGAUAGCUGGUUCUCCCCGAAAGCUAUUUAGGUAGCGCCUCGUGAAUUCAUCUCCGGGGGUAGAGCACUGUUUCGGCAAGGGGGUCAUCCCGACUUACCAACCCGAUGCAAACUGCGAAUACCGGAGAAUGUUAUCACGGGAGACACACGGCGGGUGCUAACGUCCGUCGUGAAGAGGGAAACAACCCAGACCGCCAGCUAAGGUCCCAAAGUCAUGGUUAAGUGGGAAACGAUGUGGGAAGGCCCAGACAGCCAGGAUGUUGGCUUAGAAGCAGCCAUCAUUUAAAGAAAGCGUAAUAGCUCACUGGUCGAGUCGGCCUGCGCGGAAGAUGUAACGGGGCUAAACCAUGCACCGAAGCUGCGGCAGCGACGCUGAUGCGUUGUUGGGUAGGGGAGCGUUCUGUAAGCCUGCGAAGGUGUGCUGUGAGGCAUGCUGGAGGUAUCAGAAGUGCGAAUGCUGACAUAAGUAACGAUAAAGCGGGUGAAAAGCCCGCUCGCCGGAAGACCAAGGGUUCCUGUCCAACGUUAAUCGGGGCAGGGUGAGUCGACCCCUAAGGCGAGGCCGAAAGGCGUAGUCGAUGGGAAACAGGUUAAUAUUCCUGUACUUGGUGUUACUGCGAAGGGGGGACGGAGAAGGCUAUGUUGGCCGGGCGACGGUUGUCCCGGUUUAAGCGUGUAGGCUGGUUUUCCAGGCAAAUCCGGAAAAUCAAGGCUGAGGCGUGAUGACGAGGCACUGCGGUGCUGA
rnacentral:rRNA from 1 species